rnacentral:rRNA from 1 species
AACGAACGCUGGCGGCAUGCCUAACACAUGCAAGUCGAACGAGACCUUCGGGUCUAGUGGCGCACGGGUGCGUAACGCGUGGGAACCUGCCCUUAGGUUCGGAAUAACUCAGAGAAAUUUGAGCUAAUACCGGAUAAUGUCUUCGCACCAAAGAUUUCUCGCCUUUGGAUGGGCCCGCGUAGGAUUAGCUUGUUGGUGGGGUAAUGGCCUACCAUGGCGACGAUCCUUAGCUGGUCUGAGAGGAUGAUCAGCCACACUGGGACUGAGACACGGCCCAGACUCCUACGGGAGGCAGCAGUGGGGAAUAUUGGACAAGGGGCGAAAGUCUGAUCCAGCAAUGCCGCGUGAGUGAUGAAGGCCUUAGGGUUGUAAAGCUCUUUUACCAGGGAUGAUAAUGACAGUACCUGGAGAAUAAGCUCCGGCUAACUCCGUG